rnacentral:sRNA from 3 species
AUUUUCCGGAAUCCACGAGGAUGAGAACCUCCGGGGGCAAGAGGUUCGACUCGAGCGGAGCGAGAGAACGUUGCGCCAGCAACGGCCCGCAGUGGCGAGUAAUCCUCUAUCACCGACCA